GCUGGGUGUGGUGGCGCACGCCUGUAAUCCCAGCUACUCAGGAGGCUGAGGCAGGAGAAUUGCUUGAACCUGGGAGGCGGAGGUUGCCGUGAGCCAAGAUGGUGCCACUGCACUCCAGCCUGGGCGACAGAGUGAGACUCUGCCUCAA
ensembl:misc_RNA Metazoa_SRP Metazoan signal recognition particle RNA